rnacentral:rRNA from 1 species
GAUCCUGGCUCAGGAUGAACGCUAGCGACAGGCUUAACACAUGCAAGUCGAGGGGCAGCAUAGAAGUAGCAAUACUUGGUGGCGACCGGCGCACGGGUGAGUAACGCGUAUGCAACCUACCUAUCAGAGGGGAAUAACCCGGCGAAAGUCGGACUAAUACCGCAUAAAACAGGGGCACCGCAUGGUGAUAUUUGUUAAAGAAAUUCGCUGAUAGAUGGGCAUGCGUUCCAUUAGGUAGUUGGUGAGGUAACGGCUCACCAAGCCGACGAUGGAUAGGGGAACUGAGAGGUUGGUCCCCCACACUGGUACUGAGACACGGACCAGACUCCUACGGGAGGCAGCAGUGAGGAAUAUUGGUCAAUGGGCGGGAGCCUGAACCAGCCAAGUCGCGUGAAGGAAGAAGGAUCUAUGGUUCGUAAACUUCUUUUGCAGGGGAAUAAAGUGCAGGACGUGUCCUGUUUUGUAUGUACCCUGAGAAUAAGGAUCGGCUAACUCCGUGCCAGCCGCUGC